GACGAACGCUGGCGGCGUGCUUAACACAUGCAAGUCGAACGGAAAGGCCCUGCUUUUGUGGGGUGCUCGAGUGGCGAACGGGUGAGUAACACGUGAGUAACCUGCCCUUGACUUUGGGAUAACUUCAGGAAACUGGGGCUAAUACCGGCUAGGAGCUCCUGCUGCAUGGUGGGGGUUGGAAAGUUUCGGCGGUUGGGGAUGGACUCGCGGCUUAUCAGCUUGUUGGUGGGGUAGUGGCUUACCAAGGCUUUGACGGGUAGCCGGCCUGGGGGGGUGACCGGCCACAUGGGAAGGGAGUGAGGCCCCGAACACCAACGGAAGGCAGGAAGGGGAAGAGUAGAACAAGGGGCGGAGGCCAGAGGCACCAAGCCAGGGUGCGGGAGAAGGGCCUUCGGUUGGGAACCGCUUUCGCCUGUGACGAAGCGUGAGUGACGGUAAUGGGUAAAGAAGCACCGGCUAACUACGUG
rnacentral:rRNA from 1 species